GCCCCGCAAGGGGUUAGUAGAGUGGCAAACGGGUGAGUAACACGUGGGUGACCUGCCUUCGAGUGGGGGAUAACGUCCCGAAAGGGACGCUAAUACCGCAUGACAUCCUGCUUUUUAAGAGGCGGAGAUCAAAGCCGGGGAUCGCAAGACUUGGCGCUUGAAGAGGGGCCCGCGCCUGAUUAGCUAGUUGGUGGGGUAACGGCUCACCAAGGCAACGAUCAGUAUCCGGCCUGAGAGGGCGGACGGACACACUGGGACUGAGACACGGCCCAGACUCCUACGGGAGGCAGCAGUGGGGAAUUGUUCGCAAUGGGCGCAAGCCUGACGACGCAACGCCGCGUGGAGGAUGAAGACCUUCGGGUCGUAAACUCCUUUCGAUCGAGACGAAUGGUUUCCGGGUUAACAGCCCGGGAAAAUGACGGUACCGAGAGAAGAAGCCCCGGCUAACUCCGUGCCAGCAGCCGCGGUAAUACGGGGGGGGCAAGCGUUGUUCGGAAUUACUGGGCGUAAAGGGCUUGUAGGUGGCCAACUAAGUCAGACGUGAAAUCCCUCAGCUUAACUGGGGAACUGCUUCUGAUACUGGAUGGCUUGAGUUUGGGAGAGGGAUGCGGAAUUCCAGGUGUAGCGGUGAAAUGCGUAGAUAUCUGGAGGAACACCGGUGGCGAAGGCGGCAUCCUGGACCAACACUGACACUGAAAAGCGAAAGCCAGGGGAGCAAACGGGAUUAGAUACCCCGGUAGUCCUGGCCCUAAACGAUGAAUGUUUGGUGUGGCGGGUAUCGAUCCCUGCCGUGCCCGAAGCUAACGCAUUAAACAUUCCGCCUGGGGAGUACGGUCGCAAGGCUGAAACUCAAAGGAA
rnacentral:rRNA from 1 species